rnacentral:rRNA from 1 species
UACGGGGGGGAGCAAGCGUUGUUCGGAUUUACUGGGCGUAAAGGGCGCGUAGGCGGCCUCUGCAAGUCGACUGUGAAAUCUCCGGGCUUAACCCGGAAAGGUCAGCCGAUACUGCAGGGCUAGAGUGCAGAAGGGGCAACUGGAAUUCUCGGUGUAGCGGUGAAAUGCGUAGAUAUCGAGAGGAACACCUGCGGCGAAGGCGGGUUGCUGGGCUGACACUGACGCUGAAGUGCGAAGCUAGGGGAGCGAACGGG